rnacentral:rRNA from 1 species
CGAGGGGCAGCAUGAUUGAAGCUUGCUUCAAUUGAUGGCGACCGGCGCACGGGUGAGUAACGCGUAUCCAACCUUCCGUACACUCAGGGAUAGCCUUUCGAAAGAAAGAUUAAUACCCGAUGGUAUGAUGAGAUUGCAUGAUAGCAUCAUUAAAGAUUUAUCGGUGUACGAUGGGGAUGCGUUCCAUUAGGUAGUAGGCGGGGUAACGGCCCACCCAGCCGACGAUGGAUAGGGGUUCUGAGAGGAAGGUCCCCCACAUUGGAACUGAGACACGGUCCAAACUCCUACGGGAGGCAGCAGUGAGGAAUAUUGGUCAAUGGACGAGAGUCUGAACCAGCCAAGUAGCGUGAAGGAUGAAGGUCCUACGGAUUGUAAACUUCUUUUAUAAGGGAAUAAAACCUCCCACGUGUGGGAGCUUGUAUGUACCUUAUGAAUAAGCAUCGGCUAACUCCGUGCCAGCAGCCGCGGUAAUACGGAGGAUGCGAGCGUUAUCCGGAUUUAUUGGGUUUAAAGGGAGCGCAGACGGGUCGUUAAGUCAGCUGUGAAAGUUUGGGGCUCAACCUUAAAAUUGCAGUUGAUACUGGCGUCCUUGAGUGCGGUUGAGGUGUGCGGAAUUCGUGGUGUAGCGGUGAAAUGCUUAGAUAUCACGAAGAACUCCGAUUGCGAAGGCAGCACACUAAGCCGUAACUGACGUUCAUGCUCGAAAGUGUGGGUAUCAAACAGGAUUAGAUACCCUGG